rnacentral:rRNA from 1 species
UGCGUAGGUGGCUUUGCGUGUCGGGUGUGAAAGCUCACCGCUCAACGGUGAAACGGCAUUCGAAACUGCAAGGCUUGAGUGCAGGAGAGGAGAGCAGAAUUCUUGGUGUAGCGGUGGAAUGCGUUGAUAUCAAGAAGAAUACCGGUGGCGUAGGCGGCUCUCUGGAAUGCAACUGACACUGAGGCACGAAAGCUGGGGGAGCAAACA